rnacentral:lncRNA from 1 species
AUGAAGACUUUGCCUGUGUUGAUUGAACAAGCUGAUGGAUUUUCCCAAGUUUUAAAGAUGCAGCCUGUUAUCCAGCUCCAGAGGAUCCACCAAGAAGUCUUUUCUGGUUGUGAUGGGAAACUAGAUGCUCAGCCUGAGAGUAGCUCUGUGACACAGAUGGAAGCCACACCUACAGAGACUGCUGCCCGGCCGGCCUCUGACCUGGUGCUGAGAAGAAGGCGGAUUACAGACUGUGCCUUGAGAAAGAGGGUCUUGCCAUGUAGCCCAGGAUGGCCUUGAACUCACUAUAUAGCCGAAACUGGCCUUGACUCUUGAUGAUCCUCCUGCUUCAGCCUCACGAGUGCUAGGAUUACAGGUGUGUGCCACCAUGCCCAACAGAACUACAUUGAUUUUUGAAUGCUGAAUCAACCUUUCAUGGUUGUGAUAAGCUCCAUGUGGUCAUGAAUUAUUCUUUUUGUAUAUUGCUUGAUUCAAUUUAUAAUUUUUUGGCUAAGAAUUUUUGCAUCUAUGAUCUUGAAGAAUAUUGAUCUGAGAUGUGUUUCUUGAACCGUUUCUGUCAAAUGUUGGCAUAGGCCAAGUGUGGUGGUGCAUGCCUGUAAUCCCAGCACUUGAGAGGCUGAGGCAGGAGGACUGCCAUGAAUUCAAGGCCAGCCUGGGCUGCAUAGUACAUUCAAGGCCAGGCUGAACUAUGUAGCAAGAC